UUUUUUCACUUUUUCAUAUACAUACAUAAUAUUUAUAUUAACCGUAUACAUGGUCUUUUAUUAUUUUAUCGUAUAUAUGUACAACAGAUGUACGUAACAACUAGAUUUGAAACCGCAGUUUUGAGAGCCGGUCGGCAGUACAGAAGAGGUACGGAAAGGAGAGAGGUAGAUAAAUAAAAUAACUGAUAUUUUUGCCAAAUAAAAAAUAAAUAAAUCCCUAAAAAGAGGCUGAAAGGGAAGGAUUUUCUCCGUCCAGCCAAAGAAAUACUUGAUCAAGAGGAGGCUGCCGAUCAUGUUUAAAGGGAAAAAGAGGGUCAAGCCGUCAAGUACCGUACAGCCAAAUAAUUGCAUGUUGGAGAGGCUGACGUUAGAGGGGAAAAAGUCGAAGAAGCUGAAUGUGAGGGUCUAAAAGAGUUAUAAUGUUUAGUUCUGUUUUCUUCUUUUAAAAGUUUAUCAUGCGUGGUUCGAUUUGGAGGGACGAAUUCUCUCCGUCCAGCCAAAUGAAAACAAGAAGAGGAAGACAGGUUACCGGGGGAAAUUCUGGAAUCAAUUAUGCAUUGUUUGAAGAUGAGAGAAGCAGCAAAAAUGGGCUUGGUUUCUAAGCGUUGGCAAAAAGAUAUAGAAUUCUUCACUUGAGAUUGCACCUAGGUUGGCUUUUAAUGUCGACAGGAUAAGCGAUUUGGAAAGACCGUGGCGAUAUAGAGAUUUAGUAAACAAGAAGAUGAAAUGCAGUGAAUGAAGUAGUGAAAUUGCAUAAGGCACCAACUCUGGAUUAUUUCUUAUUAAUUUCUUCCAAUUUGAAAUCAAAGGAUUGUCAUCAUAUACACGCAUGGAUGGAUUUUGCUGCCAAAAAAACAGGUCAAAAAACUUUUUUUGGAACUUGAUUCUGAUAUUGGUUAUGAUUUCGAAUUAUGGGCAUGUAUGAGCCCUGAUUAUUAAGGCGGUGAAGCUAGAUAUUUUCUCUGGGUGCCAACAUCAAGUUAUGUUUUCGUUGCAUUUACUUUAAGUAUGCUGUCUCGGUGGAGAAAAUAAUCCUUCAGCUUAUGCCUUCUAGCUUUUGGAGACAUAGAAGUCGUUGGGUGGACUAUGAAGAUAAAUUUAAUAAUCAAUAUGACACAAGGGUGUGCCCAGCUACUGAAAACCCAAGUACACCAAGUGCAUCCCAAGGUAGGUGUGAUUAUCAAUUAAUUUAGCUGUAAAAGUUUGAUUAUGAACAUGUUGUGUUUCUAUUAUUUAUGAAUAGCAUAGUUUGACUUUGGACA